rnacentral:rRNA from 1 species
CAGAGAGAGACAUGCGCGCAUAUCAAUAAGCGGAGGAAAAGAAACUAACAAGGAUUCCCCUAGUAACGGCGAGUGAAGCGGGAAGAGCUCAAAUUUGAAAUCUUAAAGGGUUUCCCUUUACGAAUUGUAGUUUAAAGAAGUGUUUUCUGUUGAGGUUUUGGUAAAAGUUCUUUGGAAUAGGACAUCAUAGAGGGUGAGAAUCCCGUAUUUGACCUUUACUUUCAACUUUGUGAUACACUUUCAAAGAGUCGGAUUGUUUGGGAAUGCAGUCCAAAAUGGGUGGUAAGUUUCAUCUAAAGCUAAAUAUUGGCGAGAGACCGAUAGCGAACAAGUACCGUGAGGGAAAGAUGAAAAGAACUUUGAAAAGAGAGUUAAACAGUACGUGAAAUUGUCAAAAGGGAAGCGUUUGACACCAGUGUUGUUUUUCUGAAAAUCAAUUAAAGAACUGUUUAUGCUAAGUUGUUUAGACUUUAUCAGCUAACUGUUUAGUUUUGAGCUUUUCUUUAAUGCACUUUUCAGUUAACAAGUCAACAUCAAUUUCUUUUGCUGUAAAAAAGCUUGAGGAAGGUGGCUUGAGAUUCGUCUUAAGUGUUUAUAGCCUCUUGCCUAUGCAGUCGGAGAGAUUGAGGUCUGCAGCGUAGAUCCUUCGGGGCUAAAUGCAUUUGUGCUAAGUUAUAGCAUUUUAUAGACAACUUGUUGACUAUGAUUUGUCUUGUAGCUUACUCGCUUAUGUUAUUUUACCUACGCUUAGGAUGUUGAGCGCAUGUCUCUCUCU